GGGGAUUUAGCUCAGUGGUAGAGCGCUUGCCUAGCAAACGCAAGGCCCUGGGUUCGAUCCCCAGCUCCA
rnacentral:tRNA from 1 species